rnacentral:rRNA from 1 species
UGGGGAAUAUUAGACAAUGGGCGAAAGCCUGAUCCAGCCAUGCCGCGUGUGUGAAGAAGGUCUUCGGAUUGUAAAGCACUUUAAGUUGGGAGGAAGGGCAUUAACCUAAUACGUUAGUGUUUUGACGUUACCGACAGAAUAAGCACCGGCUAACUCUGUGCCAGCAGCCGCGGUAAUACAGAGGGUGCAAGCGUUAAUCGGAAUUACUGGGCGUAAAGCGCGCGUAGGUGGUUUGUUAAGUUGGAUGUGAAAUCCCCGGGCUCAACCUGGGAACUGCAUUCAAAACUGACUGACUAGAGUAUGGUAGAGGGUGGUGGAAUUUCCUGUGUAGCGGUGAAAUGCGUAGAUAUAGGAAGGAACACCAGUGGCGAAGGCGACCACCUGGACUAAUACUGACACUGAGGUGCGAAAGCGUGGGGAGCAAACA